AAACGGCGGGAGUAACUA
rnacentral:ncRNA from 3 species